CCCUGAGAUUGGCUUGGUUGGUCAGAGCAUGGUGCUGAUAACACCAAGGCAUGGGUGCUAAUCCCCCAUGGGA